rnacentral:rRNA from 1 species
UGGGGAAUAUUGCGCAAUGGGGGAAACCCUGACGCAGCAACGCCGCGUGAAGGAAGAAGGUCUUCGGAUUGUAAACUUUUGUUGGCAGGGAAGAAAAGAUGACAGUACCUGCUGAGGAAGCUCCGGCUAACUACGUGCCAGCAGCCGCGGUAAUACGUAGGGAGCAAGCGUUGUCCGGAAUUACUGGGUGUAAAGGGUGCGUAGGCGGGUAUGCAAGUCAUAUGUGAAAUACCGGGGCUCAACUCCGGGGCUGCAUAAGAAACUGUAUAUCUUGAGUGCAGGAGAGGUAAGCGGAAUUCCUAGUGUAGCGGUGAAAUGCGUAGAUAUUAGGAGGAACACCAGUGGCGAAGGCGGCUUACUGGACUGAAACUGACGCUGAGGCACGAAAGCGUGGGGAGCAAACAGG